AUUGAACGCUGGCGGCAGGCCUAACACAUGCAAGUCGAACGGUAACAGGAAGCAGCUUGCUGCUUCGCUGACGAGUGGCGGACGGGUGAGUAAUGUCUGGGAAGCUGCCUGAUGGAGGGGGAUAACUACUGGAAACGGUAGCUAAUACCGCAUAAUGUCGCAAGACCAAAGAGGGGGACCUUCGGGCCUCUUGCCAUCGGAUGUGCCCAGAUGGGAUUAGCUUGUUGGUGGGGUAACGGCUCACCAAGGCGACGAUCCCUAGCUGGUCUGAGAGGAUGACCAGCCACACUGGAACUGAGACACGGUCCAGACUCCUACGGGAGGCAGCAGUGGGGAAUAUUGCACAAUGGGCGCAAGCCUGAUGCAGCCAUGCCGCGUGUAUGAAGAAGGCCUUCGGGUUGUAAAGUACUUUCAGCGGGGAGGAAGGGAGUAAAGUUAAUACCUUUGCUCAUUGACGUUACCCGCAGAAGAAGCACCGGCUAACUCCGUGCCAGCAGCCGCGGUAAUACGGAGGGUGCAAGCGUUAAUCGGAAUUACUGGGCGUAAAGCGCACGCAGGCGGUUUGUUAAGUCAGAUGUGAAAUCCCCGGGCUCAACCUGGGAACUGCAUCUGAUACUGGCAAGCUUGAGUCUCGUAGAGGGGGGUAGAAUUCCAGGUGUAGCGGUGAAAUGCGUAGAGAUCUGGAGGAAUACCGGUGGCGAAGGCGGCCCCCUGGACGAAGACUGACGCUCAGGUGCGGAAGCGUGGGGAGCAAACAGGAUUAGAUACCCUGGUAGUCCACGCCGUAAACGAUGUCGACUUGGAGGUUGUGCCCUUGAGGCGUGGCUUCCGGAGCUAACGCGUUAAGUCGACCGCCUGGGGAGUACGGCCGCAAGGUUAAAACUCAAAUGAAUUGACGGGGGCCCGCACAAGCGGUGGAGCAUGUGGUUUAAUUCGAUGCAACGCGAAGAACCUUACCUGGUCUUGACAUCCACGGAAGUUUUCAGAGAUGAGAAUGUGCCUUCGGGAACCGUGAGACAGGUGCUGCAUGGCUGUCGUCAGCUCGUGUUGUGAAAUGUUGGGUUAAGUCCCGCAACGAGCGCAACCCUUAUCCUUUGUUGCCAGCGGUCCGGCCGGGAACUCAAAGGAGACUGCCAGUGAUAAACUGGAGGAAGGUGGGGAUGACGUCAAGUCAUCAUGGCCCUUACGACCAGGGCUACACACGUGCUACAAUGGCGCAUACAAAGAGAAGCGACCUCGCGAGAGCAAGCGGACCUCAUAAAGUGCGUCGUAGUCCGGAUUGGAGUCUGCAACUCGACUCCAUGAAGUCGGAAUCGCUAGUAAUCGUGGAUCAGAAUGCCACGGUGAAUACGUUCCCGGGCCU
rnacentral:rRNA from 1 species